GACGAACGCUGGCGGCGUGCUUAACACAUGCAAGUCGAACGGAAAGGCCCUGCUUUUGUGGGGUGCUCGAGUGGCGAACGGGGGAGUAACACGUGAGUAACCUGCCCUGGACUUUGGGAUAACUUCGGGAAACUGGGGCUAAUACCGGAUAGGAGCUCCUGCUGCAUGGUGGGGGUUGGAAAGUUUCGGCGGUUGGGGAUGGACUCGCGGCUUAUCAGCUUGUUGGUGGGGUAGUGGCUUACCAAGGCUUUGACGGGUAGCCGGCCUGAGAGGGUGACCGGCCACAUUGGGACUGAGAUACGGCCCAGACUCCUACGGGAGGCAGCAGUGGGGAAUAUUGCACAAUGGGCGGAAGCCUGAUGCAGCAACGCCGCGUGCGGGAUGACGGCCUUCGGGUUGUAAACCGCUUUCGCCUGUGACGAAGCGUGAGUGACGGUAAUGGGUAAAGAAGCACCGGCUAACUACGUG
rnacentral:rRNA from 1 species